UACGGAGGGGGCUAGCGUUGUUCGGAAUUACUGGGCGUAACGCGCGCGUAGGCGGACCUGCAAGUCGGGGGUGAAAGCCCGAGGCUCAACCUCGGAACUGCCUUCGAUACUGCGGGUCUCGAGUCCGGGAGAGGUGGGUGGAAUUCCUGGUGUAGCGGUGAAAUGCGUAGAUAUCAGGAGGAACACCGGUGGCGAAGGCGGCUCUCUGGACCACAACUGACGCCGAGGCGCGAAAGCUAGGGGAGCAAACAGG
rnacentral:rRNA from 1 species